rnacentral:rRNA from 1 species
UACGUAGGGUGCAAGCGUUAAUCGGAAUUACUGGGCGUAAAGCGUGCGCAGGCGGUUCUAUAAGUCAGAUGUGAAAUCCCCGGGCUCAACCUGGGAACUGCAUUUGUGACUGUAGAGCUGGAGUACGGUAGAGGGGGAUGGAAUUCCGCGUGUAGCAGUGAAAUGCGUAGAUAUGCGGAGGAACACCGAUGGCGAAGGCAAUCCCCUGGACCUGUACUGACGCUCAUGCACGAAAGCGUGGGGAGCAAACAGG